rnacentral:rRNA from 1 species
CGCGGCCUAUCAGCUUGUUGGUGGGGUGAUGGCCUACCAAGGCGACGACGGGUAGCCGGCCUGAGAGGGCGACCGGCCACACUGGGACUGAGACACGGCCCAGACUCCUACGGGAGGCAGCAGUGGGGAAUAUUGCACAAUGGGCGGAAGCCUGAUGCAGCGACGCCGCGUGAGGGAUGACGGCCUUCGGGUUGUAAACCUCUUUCAGCAGGGAAGAAGCGCAAGUGACGGUACCUGCAGAAGAAGCGCCGGCUAACUACGUGCCAGCAGCCGCGGUAAUACGUAGGGCGCAAGCGUUGUCCGGAAUUAUUGGGCGUAAAGAGCUCGUAGGCGGUUUGUCACGUCGGAUGUGAAAGCCCGGGGCUUAACCCCGGGUCUGCAUUCGAUACGGGCAGACUAGAGUGUGGUAGGGGAGAUCGGAAUUCCUGGUGUAGCGGUGAAAUGCGCAGAUAUCAGGAGGAACACCGGUGGCGAAGGCGGAUCUCUGGGCCAUUACUGACGCUGAGGAGCGAAAGCGUGGGGAGCGAACAGGAUUAGAUACCCUGGUAGUCCACGCCGUAAACGUUGGGAACUAGGUGUGGGUCACAUUCCACGUGGUCCGUGCCGCAGCUAACGCAU